GUCCCAGAAUGUGCAGUGGCCAGACAGAGUCCAAGGCGCUCACAAAUUAAGAAGAACUGUUAGGUCUUGAAGACCAGGGUCUGAGUAAGAUUCCUGACUCCAAAUGUAUGCAACUGACGGGAGUCUCUUACAGCAGCCAAGCCAAACAACAGAAAAAAGUGAGCCUGGCAGUCAACAGCUGCCUGAAUCAUUCAUAUGUGGUUUCAACUUGCAAUGCAGCAUUGUGAACAUGAAAGCAAAGAGCCCUCUGCUAAGCUAUGCCCAGGAUGGUCAAACGACACAUGGAGAAAUGGGGAGUUGUGAAGUA